CUCAUCUCACCUACUGCUGUCCUAUUCAAUUUGCCUUGCUUCCUCAUAUGGUGUUUAUCUUACUGUUUCAACCAGAAUUCAUCAGCUGGCUACAAAAUACAUUUGAUCUUAGAAACGCUUUUUUCAGAAAAAGAGAAACGAACUGAGGUGGAUGAUGGUCUUGUGUUUAAGGCAGUGCACUGGGACAUCAGGGAUAAAUCGUCAUCUCUUCAACAGAUUUCCUGUGUGACCUUGGGCAAGUUACUUAGGCACAGAUUUUCACAGGAAAAGAAUAGUUGCUUCAUAAAGUCUUCAUGAAAUCAUCCUACAUUUUCCUCCAUGGGAUUCUCCAUCACUAUUUAGAGUUUACCACAUUUCACAGUGGAAAACCAAUGCUUUGUAAAUCUCUUCUUAGUUUUUCGAACAAUGUUAGCAUUUGAUGUAUAAUGUUUGUCUAAGAUAUAAGUAAAUCUGGAGAAGGCAAUUAAAAUAAAGUUCUCAAGUUUACAAAGGUUUCGAGCUUAGGGCAAGCUUAAUUAAAGUCAAUCAUGGAAAACAAAGCACUUAGCACUGCAGUCCUCCACAUUUGUCAGACUUGUGAAUCAUGGGAAGAGUUAAUUAGAAUCAAACGAGGAAAAAGUAAACAUUAAGAGUUCUUUCUGGGGUUCAUUAAAUUUGAAUAAGUCAAAAUAUGUACCGGUAAUAUUCAACUUUGUAGCUAUGACCCACAUUUCUCUGCCUUCUCUGACAAUCUUUGUACUACUGGAUUAAAAUACACGUAGGGCCUGAUUCUCUUUUACAGAGAAGAGGAUCCUGGAAUGAGUUGUAAAACAAACUGCAGUCUACAGGCCUAAUUCUCAUUUACACUAAAGCCACUUUCCACCAUUAUGGCAGUAAAGGGGAAGUAAAUUAUAUAUACUCCUAGCUUAAGACCACUUUACACUUCCAUAAUGUGUAAAGCAACCUUAAUAAAAAAUAAAUCUCCUGCUUUCUUGUCUCAGCAUGUCAAGUCCGAGCAAUGCCCUGUUUUCCAAGAGUAUGGCAAUCCAUGAAUGAAGGUUCUGGAAGUAUGGCUAAUAGUCACCUGGUAUACUGCACUGGCAUGCUAGCAUUGUGUUUACUAAACAUUAUAGAGAUAUGAAGUCCUUUAUGUCAGGGUUUCUCAACUGAAGGGUCACGUGGCAGCUCCUGUGGCUGGCUGGACUCACCUCCCUGCUCCAGGCACUGCAACCUCUGGGGUCCCAGUGCCACUCAGGUUUGGCCCAGCCGUCAUGAUGACAGGAGUCCAGGUAAGCCAAAUUUGAG